rnacentral:rRNA from 1 species
UACAGAGGUCCCGAGCGUUGUUCGGAUUCACUGGGCGUAAAGGGUGCGUAGGUGGUGAGGUAAGUCGGAUGUGAAAUCUCCGGGCUCAACCCGGAAAUGGCAUUGGAAACUACCUUACUAGAGGAUUUGAGGGGGGAUUGGAAUACUUGGUGUAGCAGUGAAAUGCGUAGAUAUCAAGUGGAACACCAGUGGCGAAGGCGAAUCCCUGGAAAAUACCUGACACUGAGGCACGAAAGCUAGGGGAGCAAACAGG